AAAUUGAAGAGUUUGAUCAUGGCUCAGAUUGAACGCUGGCGGCAGGCCUAACACAUGCAAGUCGAACGGUAACAGGAAGCAGCUUGCUGCUUCGCUGACGAGUGGCGGACGGGUGAGUAAUGUCUGGGAAACUGCCUGAUGGAGGGGGAUAACUACUGGAAACGGUGGCUAAUACCGCAUAACGUCGCAAGACCAAAGAGGGGGACCUUCUGGCCUCUUGCCAUCAGAUGUGCCCAGAUGGGAUUAGCUAGUUGGUGAGGUAACGGCUCACCAAGGCGACGAUCCCUAGCUGGUCUGAGAGGAUGACCAGCCACACUGGAACUGAGACACGGUCCAGACUCCUACGGGAGGCAGCAGUGGGGAAUAUUGCACAAUGGGCGCAAGCCUGAUGCAGCCAUGCCGCGUGUAUGAAGAAGGCCUUCGGGUUGUAAAGUACUUUCAGCGGGGAGGAAGGUGUUGUGGUUAAUAACCACAGCAAUUGACGUUACCCGCAGAAGAAGCACCGGCUAACUCCGUGCCAGCAGCCGCGGUAAUACGGAGGGUGCAAGCGUUAAUCGGAAUUACUGGGCGUAAAGCGCACGCAGGCGGUCUGUCAAGUCGGAUGUGAAAUCCCCGGGCUCAACCUGGGAACUGCAUUCGAAACUGGCAGGCUUGAGUCUUGUAGAGGGGGGUAGAAUUCCAGGUGUAGCGGUGAAAUGCGUAGAGAUCUGGAGGAAUACCGGUGGCGAAGGCGGCCCCCUGGACAAAGACUGACGCUCAGGUGCGAAAGCGUGGGGAGCAAACAGGAUUAGAUACCCUGGUAGUCCACGCCGUAAACGAUGUCUACUUGGAGGUUGUGCCCUUGAGGCGUGGCUUCCGGAGCUAACGCGUUAAGUAGACCGCCUGGGGAGUACGGCCGCAAGGUUAAAACUCAAAUGAAUUGACGGGGGCCCGCACAAGCGGUGGAGCAUGUGGUUUAAUUCGAUGCAACGCGAAGAACCUUACCUGGUCUUGACAUCCACGGAAGUUUUCAGAGAUGAGAAUGUGCCUUCGGGAACCGUGAGACAGGUGCUGCAUGGCUGUCGUCAGCUCGUGUUGUGAAAUGUUGGGUUAAGUCCCGCAACGAGCGCAACCCUUAUCCUUUGUUGCCAGCGAUUAGGUCGGGAACUCAAAGGAGACUGCCAGUGAUAAACUGGAGGAAGGUGGGGAUGACGUCAAGUCAUCAUGGCCCUUACGACCAGGGCUACACACGUGCUACAAUGGCGCAUACAAAGAGAAGCGACCUCGCGAGAGCAAGCGGACCUCAUAAAGUGCGUCGUAGUCCGGAUUGGAGUCUGCAACUCGACUCCAUGAAGUCGGAAUCGCUAGUAAUCGUGGAUCAGAAUGCCACGGUGAAUACGUUCCCGGGCCUUGUACACACCGCCCGUCACACCAUGGGAGUGGGUUGCAAAAGAAGUAGGUAGCUUAACCUUCGGGAGGGCGCUUACCACUUUGUGAUUCAUGACUGGGGUGAAGUCGUAACAAGGUAACCGUAGGGGAACCUGCGGUUGGA
rnacentral:rRNA from 1 species